rnacentral:rRNA from 1 species
AUUGAACGCUGGCGGCAUGCUUUACACAUGCAAGUCGAACGGCAGCACGGACUUCGGUCUGGUGGCGAGUGGCGAACGGGUGAGUAAUACAUCGGAACGUACCCAGUAAUGGGGGAUAACUAGUCGAAAGAUUAGCUAAUACCGCAUACGCCCUACGGGGGAAAGAGGGGGAUCGCAAGACCUCUUGUUAUUGGAGCGGCCGAUGGCUGAUUAGCUAGUUGGUGGGGUAAAGGCCUACCAAGGCGACGAUCAGUAGCGGGCCUUAGAGGACGAUCCGCAACACUGGAACUGAGACACUGUCCAGACUCCUACGGGAGGCAGCAGUGGGGAAUCUUGGACAAUGGGCGAAAGCCUGAUCCAGCAAUGCCGCGUGCGUGAAGAAGGCCUUCGGGUUGUAAAGCGCUUUUGUCUGGGAGCAAAUCCUUGUGGCUAAUACCCACCGGGGAUGAGAGUACCAGAAGAAUAAGGACCGGCUAACUACGUGCCAGCCGCCGCAGUAA